rnacentral:rRNA from 1 species
UACGUAGGAGGCAAGCGUUGUCCGGAAUUAUUGGGCGUAAAGAGCUCGUAGGCGGUCUGUCGCGUCGGCUGUGAAAACCCGGGGCUCAACCCCGGGCCUGCAGUCGAUACGGGCAGACUAGAGUGCGGUAGGGGAGACUGGAAUUCCUGGUGUAGCGGUGAAAUGCGCAGAUAUCAGGAGGAACACCGGUGGCGAAGGCGGGUCUCUGGGCCGUAACUGACGCUGAGGAGCGAAAGCGUGGGGAGCGAACAGG